GGCAGUUCUUGGGUGAUGCACCCAGAAUUGGGCUCCCUCCUCUCUGGUUCCGGGUACAUCACCCGAGAACCACA
rfam:Myotis brandtii contig211742, whole genome shotgun sequence.